CAUUACCGAGUUUACAACUCCCAAACCCCUGUGAACAUACCUAUUUGUUGCCUCGGCGGUGCCUGUUCCGACAGCCCGCCAGAGGACCCCAAACCCUGAUUACAUUUAAGAAGUCUUCUGAGUAAACCGAUUAAAUAAAUCAAAACUUUCAACAACGGAUCUCUUGGUUCUGGCAUCGAUGAAGAACGCAGCGAAAUGCGAUAAGUAAUGUGAAUUGCAGAAUUCAGUGAAUCAUCGAAUCUUUGAACGCACAUUGCGCCCGCUAGUAUUCUGGCGGGCAUGCCUGUCCGAGCGUCAUUUCAACCCUCAAGCCCCCGGGCUUGGUGUUGGGGAUCGGCGAGCCUCCGCGCCCGCCGUCCCCUAAAUCUAGUGGCGGUCUCGCUGUAGCUUCCUCUGCGUAGUAGCACACCUCGCACUGGGAAACAGCGCGGCCACGCCGUUAAACCCCCAACUUCUGAACGUUGACCUCGGGUCGGGUAGGAAUACCCGCUGAACUUAAGCAUAUCAAUAAGCGGAGGAAAAGA
rnacentral:rRNA from 1 species